GACGAACGCUGGCGGCGUGCUUAACACAUGCAAGUCGAACGGUAAGGCCCUUCGGGGUACACGAGUGGCGAACGGGUGAGUAACACGUGGGUGAUCUGCCCUGCACUUCGGGAUAAGCCUGGGAAACUGGGUCUAAUACCGGAUAGGACCACUGCCUGCAUGGGUGGUGGUGGAAAGCUUUUGCGGGGUGGGAUGGGCCCGCGGCCUAUCAGCUUGUUGGUGGGGUGAUGGCCUACCAAGGCGACGACGGGUAGCCGGCCUGAGAGGGUGGACGGCCACACUGGGACAGAGAUACCGCGCAGACGCCUACGGGAGGAAGCAGUGGGGAAUAUUGCACAAUGGGCGCAAGCCUGAUGCAGCGACGCCGCGUGAGGGAUGACGGCCUUCAGGUUGUAAACCUCUUUCAGCUAUGACGAAGCGAAAGUGACGGUAGUAGCAGAGGAAGGACCGGCCAACUACGUGCCAGCCGCCGCCGUAA
rnacentral:rRNA from 1 species